UUUUUUUUAGUAUACUCUAAGUACAUUUGAUUUCCAAUCAAAAAGUCUAAAUUUUAGAAAAAAUA
rnacentral:tRNA from 1 species